rnacentral:rRNA from 1 species
GCUUGUUGGUGGGGUAACGGCCUACCAAGGCGACGAUGUCUAGGGGCUCUGAGAGGAGAAUCCCCCACACUGGUACUGAGACACGGACCAGACUCCUACGGGAGGCAGCAGUAAGGAAUAUUGGUCAAUGGAGGGAACUCUGAACCAGCCAUGCCGCGUGCAGGAAGACGGCCCUACGGGUUGUAAACUGCUUUUGCACGGGAAUAACCCUCAUUAUGUAUAAUGAGCUGAAUGUACCGUGAGAAUAAGGAUCGGCUAACUCCGUGCCAGCAGCCGCGGUAAUACGGAGGAUCCGAGCGUUAUCCGGAAUUAUUGGGUUUAAAGGGUGCGCAGGCGGGGAUCUAAGUCAGGGGUGAAAGACGGUGGCUCAACCAUCGCAGUGCCCUUGAUACUGAUGAGCUUGAAUACACUAGAGGUAGGCGGAAUGUGACAAGUAGCGGUGAAAUGCAUAGAUAUGUCACAGAACACCGAUUGCGAAGGCAGCUUACUAUGGUGUGAUUGACGCUGAGGCACGAAAGCGUGGGGAUCAAACAGGAUUAGAUACCCUGGUAGUCCACGCCCUAAACGAUGAAUACUCGCUGUUAGCGAUAUACAGUUAGCGGCUAAGCGAAAGCGUUAAGUAUUCCACCUGGGGAGUACGCCCGCAAGAUUAAAACUCAAAGG